CAUGUGGGUAUCUUCCCUUUGGUGAGGAAUAACACGAGGAAACUUGUGCUAAUACCUCAUAAGUCUUUACGGAGAAAGCUUUAUGCGCCAAUGGAUGAGCCCGCACUUGAUUAGUUUGUUGGUGGGGUAAUGGCCUACCAAGACUGUGAUCAAUAGCUGAUUUGAGAGGAUGAUCAGCCACAUUGGGACUGAGACACGGCCCAAACUCCUACGGGAGGCAGCAGUAGGGAAUCUUGCACAAUGGAGGAAACUCUGAUGCAGCGAUGCCGCGUGAGUGAAGAAGGCCCUUGGGGUUGUAAA
rnacentral:rRNA from 1 species